rnacentral:rRNA from 1 species
CACAUGCAAGUCGAGGGGCAGCAUUGGAGUAGCAAUACUUCAGAUGGCGACCGGCGCACGGGUGAGUAACACGUAUCCAACCUGCCGCUUACUCGGGGAUAGCCUUUCGAAAGAAAGAUUAAUACCCGAUGGUAUAAAGAGUUCGCAUGUUCUCUUUAUUAAAGAAUUUCGGUAAGCGAUGGGGAUGCGUUCCAUUAGAUUGUUGGCGGGGUAACGGCCCACCAAGUCUACGAUGGAUAGGGGUUCUGAGAGGAAGGUCCCCCACAUUGGAACUGAGACACGGUCCAAACUCCUACGGGAGGCAGCAGUGAGGAAUAUUGGUCAAUGGGCGAGAGCCUGAACCAGCCAAGUAGCGUGAAGGAUGACUGCCCUAUGGGUUGUAAACUUCUUUUAUAAGGGAAUAAAGUGAGGGACGUGUCCCUUUUUGUAUGUACCUUAUGAAUAAGGAUCGGCUAACUCCGUGCCAGCAGCCGCGGUAAUACGGAGGAUCCGAGCGUUAUCCGGAUUUAUUGGGUUUAAAGGGAGCGUAGGUUGACAUAUAAGUCAGCUGUGAAAGUUUACGGCUCAACCGUGAAAUUGCAGUUGAUACUGUAUGUCUUGAGUGUACAAGAGGUGGGCGGAAUUCGUGGUGUAGCGGUGAAAUGCUUAGA